UACGUAGGGGGCAAGCGUUGUCCGGAUUCAUUGGGCGUAAAGAGCGUGUAGGCGGCCUGAAGGGUCAGCUGUGAAAACUCGAGGCUCAACCUCGAGACGUCGGUUGAAACCAUCUGGCUAGAGUCCGGAAGAGGAGUGUGGAAUUCCCGGUGUAGCGGUGAAAUGCGCAGAUAUCAGGAGGAACACCGGUGGCGAAGGCGGUGGUCUGGGCCGGUACUGACGCUGAGGAGCGAAAGCGUGGGGAGCGAACAGG
rnacentral:rRNA from 1 species